rnacentral:rRNA from 1 species
GAUGAACGCUGGCGGCGUGCCUAAUACAUGCAAGUCGAGCGAACGGACGAGAAGCUUGCUUCUCUGAUGUUAGCGGCGGACGGGUGAGUAACACGUGGAUAACCUACCUAUAAGACUGGGAUAACUUCGGGAAACCGUAGCUAAUACCGGAUAAUAUUUUGAACCGCAUGGUUCAAAAGUGAAAGACGGUCUUGCUGUCACUUAUAGAUGGAUCCGCGCUGCAUUAGCUAGUUGGUAAGGUAACGGCUUACCAAGGCAACGAUGCAUAGCCGACCUGAGAGGGUGAUCGGCCACACUGGAACUGAGACACGGUCCAGACUCCUACGGGAGGCAGCAGUAGGGAAUCUUCCGCAAUGGGCGAAAGCCUGACGGAGCAACGCCGCGUGAGUGAUGAAGGUCUUCGGAUCGUAAAACUCUGUUAUUAGGGAAGAACAUAUGUGUAAGUAAUUGUGCACAUCUUGACGGUACCUAAUCAGAAAGCCACGGCUAACUACGUG